AUUGAACGCUGGCGGCAGGCCUAACACAUGCAAGUCGAGCGGAUGAAGGGAGCUUGCUCCUGGAUUCAGCGGCGGACGGGUGAGUAAUGCCUAGGAAUCUGCCUGGUAGUGGGGGAUAACGUCCGGAAACGGGCGCUAAUACCGCAUACGUCCUGAGGGAGAAAGUGGGGGAUCUUCGGACCUCACGCUAUCAGAUGAGCCUAGGUCGGAUUAGCUAGUUGGUGGGGUAAAGGCCUACCAAGGCGACGAUCCGUAACUGGUCUGAGAGGAUGAUCAGUCACACUGGGACUGAGACACGGCACAGACUCCGACGGGAGGCAGCAGUGGGGAAUAUUGGACGAUGGGCGAAAGCCUGAUCCAGCCAUGCCGCGUGUGUGAAGAAGGUCUUCGGAUUGUAAAGCACUUUAAGUUGGGAGGAAGGGCAGUAAGUUAAUACCUGGCUGUUUUGACGUUACCAACAGAAUAAGCACCGGCUAACUUCGUG
rnacentral:rRNA from 1 species